UUUUUUUUUUUUAAGCUGCAGUUAUCCAGUGCUACCCGACUUAAAACCUAGCCUGGAGCAACUAAUCUAAGAGGCAAGUAGCACAGGGGAGGAGCUCGGUGAGCUGGUUAGGGCUUUAAAAAUUAGUUUCGAUUCGGUUCUCUGUUCAUGUACUACAUUCCCGAAAGAGGUUUUUUUUUUUUUUCCCCUUGGAUAACCACGGUAAAAGGCGUGUCACAAACACCGCGGGAACUUUAUAAACAUGUUCUCUCUCGUGCUUACUUGCAAGCUGGGAGGCGCGCUACCCUGCCGCCUGGCAGCUUUCAACAGCACCAUCCUGGGGGCGGGAGCCAUUAUGUUUUUUUCUCAUUCUCCAGCCGCAGCAUCCUCUCCCUGGCUCUCCCUGGCUCUGCCGCCUCUCCGUAAAAGUGGGACUAACAGCGUGGCCUUGCCCCUUCUCUUAGUGGAGGAAUGCAUGUUGUGAGAAUUAGCUAAGGUCUGUAGUGUUUGUGAGCCCAACAAAGAAUUAAAGUCUAUAGGAAGAACAUGUUAUUACAUGGUGAAGACUAGAGCUGUGAAAUGGCACCUUGGAAUUCUGUAGAAAUAGGGUUUCAAUCAGUGCAGCAGCUUCUUGAGGGAGGCGUGGUCCUGGGGCAGCGGCGCCUGGGUGGGCAUGGGUAGAGUCUCCCCUCGGCGGCUGACCAGCCACCUGGCCUUGGGCAAGUGACUUCUGCUGCCUACACCUCAGUUGUUUUUCUCUUGGAAACAGAAAUGGAUAUGCUUCCCUCACAGAGUGGUGAUGAGCUGAUGUGUGGGGAGCAGUGUCAAGUGCCAGCCUGAACAGUCUAUGGAGUGGAGAGGGUGGACCUCCACCUUUCUUAUUUAUUUUUAUUUUUUGGUCUUUUUAGGGCCGCACCUGUGGCAUAUGGAGGGGUCACAUCGGAGCUACAGCUGCCAGCCUACAACACAGCCAUAGCAACACCAGAUCCAAGCUGCGACUGCGACCUACACCACAGCUCAAGCUCAGAGCAACACCAGAUCCUUAACCCACUGAGCGAGGCCAGUGAUCGAACCUGCGUCCUCGUGGAUCCUAGUCAGAUUCGUUUCCACUGAGCCACGGCGGGACCUCCAGACCUCCACCUUUCCUCUGCUCUUAGGUUGUGCCAGGUCAGGAGGAGAAUUAUUUGGGGAUAGGGAACAAGGCUGGGAGUGGGUUCCAGAGUCUAAGCUACAGAGAGAAGGGAUGUGAAAUGUCCAUUUUCCAGAGCUGGACCUGCUUUUUUUUUUUUAAUUUCAUUUUAUUUUUUGCUAUUUUAGGGCCACACCUGCAGCAUAUGGAGAUUCCCAGGCUAGGGGUUGGAUCGGAGCUACUGUUGCUGGCCUACACCACAGCCACAGCAACACAGGAUCCGAGCCAUAUCUGCGACCUACACCACAGCUCACAGCAAUGCUGGAUACUUAACCCACUGAGCGAGGCCAGGGAUCGAACCCACAUCCUCGUGGAUCCUAGUCGGGUUCAUGAACUGCUGAGCCAUGACGGGAACUCCUGGACCUGCUUUAAAUUCUACUCUUGUGUUUCAGAAAGUUGCUAACCAACCCAAAUAAAUAAUUUAAUUUGACUGAGCAUAUGCAAAACAAGGGCCUUUCAUUAAACCAUUAUACCAACUUGGAUUAUUUAAGCUUGAAGUUCAGAGGUGCUAAAACUCCAGCUUUUUUUUUUUUUUUUUUAAAUGGCCAUAUCCACAGCAUAUGGAAGUUCCCAAGCCAGGGACCUACCAGUGCUGUAGCUGCAGCAACACCAGAUCCUUUAGCCCACUGUGCUGGGCCAGGGAUUCAACCCACGCCUCUACAGUGACCUGAGCUGCUACAGCCUGAUUCUUAACCCACUGUGCUGCAGUGGGAACUCCUAAAGUUCCAGUUUUUGACCCAAUGCCCCAUGAUGAUCUCUUUGGCCACAUAGCAUCUAGCAGGACAGCACCACUCCGUCUUCUGACUCACUGCAGAAUGUGACAUGAACCUGGGGUCUGUAAGAGCAGGCCGAUGGGAAGCCUUCCCUUGAACCCUAGCAAAGCCCAGUUAUUUGUAUGCUUUGCCACACCAAAUGCAGGAGAGCACAAAGCUUUGUCAAGAGUAGUAACUCAGUAAAUACUUGUCGGCUCACUUUGUUGGUGUUGCUGGUAGGAGGGUUCACAAAACCAUUCAAAGCCGAGUUGUAUAUAUUUGGAACAGUAUCAACAUUAAAUCACAGUCAUUGUGUCUGAUUCACGAUCAAACCUGGAAUAACAAACAUCAGCCAUCCUUAUGGCAAAUCUUCCACCACGGGCCUUGCCAACAACUGCCGCCUUCUGAGCCCACAUACCGGUGGCUGCAUAGCUCUGGGCUGUGGUUUGUACCUCGGUCUCAGUGUGUUCUAGGGGAGAAGUGGUGGGUGGAGGCUCUAGACCAACUCUUGCCCGUCUCCCCAUGAGUACUCAUUUCCUAUUUGGCUUGCAUUUUGUCCACUGCCCAGGUUCAGAUCAUAGAAGGAGAGCUGCCCCAGCAGUGCCAUUUCCAGAGAGAACCCUCACCUCCAGACUCGGCCACAUCUCAACAGCUACUUCCUGACAGCCACAGGUUCUCCAGUGGAAGUCGUGUUGGUGCAGUGGUAAGGUGUGGGCUCUGGGGCUGGACCAUCGACAUCUGAUUCCUGCUUUGACUACUUCCUGUGUGACCUUGGGCAAGUUACUUAACCUCUCUGAGCCUGAGAAGCAGAGUCAAUGCAGGCACACGGCUGAGGACACACAGUACUUGGAGCAUAGCAAGAGCUCGCCUGAAGUUCUCUCUUACUACAAUUCUAUGUUGGGUUGUUCUGGAAACACCCCAUUCCCCCCGACCAGCCACAUGUCCAGGAAUAGUCAGGGUGGGGGGAAGCUUGCAGGCAGGGAGUCGACAGCCUCACUCUUCUUUAUGACCUUCAAGGCCUUGCAGGCUCCCCCCCCCCAGGGUGGGUCUCUCCAUCCUCACCUCUUCCUUCUCUCCCCCUUAUUCACCUCCUACAUCCACAUCGGCCUUUUAUUCCUCAGACACAUGUGUCUCUUGUGCCCCAGGACAGGGCUUUUGCAGGUGCCAUUCCCUCAGCCCGGAAGUUCUGGUGUAGCUGGCCCCUCCUCACCCCGCAGGCCUUGGCUCAAACGUCACCCCCUCAGAGAGACUGGCGCCGACCCUCUGGACUGUGGAUUGUCUGUCGAGCCCCGGGGGACGCACACAGCAGGCAAGCUGGGGCGGUUUUUCUCCCUCGCCCCUGUGCCACGAGGGCAGCCAGCACUCAACAUGAUGCAUGUGUGCCCGACUGGAGAAGUACGGCCCCGGGACGUGGUUCCAGAGGCCCCAGGGAAUCCCGUGGGCAGGGAGGAGCCUGGAAGCGGACUGAGCCGGGUGGGAGCCCCAGACCCUUCCCAUCUCUGAGCGCCAGCCUCCUCAUCUGUAGACCGGCUCAUCACGCCUCCCUUGCAAAGCCCUUUCACGGAGGGUGAUGUGCGAGCACUUAGCACGGUUCCUGGCACACACCCGGGCGACAGGGGCCUUUAGGACCAGGAUCCAUUCCUUUAGCAGCCUGGCCUUGGGACAGACCCCUUAAGAUGCAAAAGCCAUCUGGAAGGGGCCCUGCUGCACGUGGCUGUCAGUGUUGGGUACUCGGUGACAAUGAGUUUCUCACGUUUCUCUGACUGGUGUUGGUGGGGGGAGGUGACAGAGGAGGAGGCUGAGUCCCUGAGGCAGGCGUGAAGAAGAGGCUGGCCCUGAGGAGGUGGGGGUGAGGGUUUGAGCUAAGGCAUCCUUCCCCCGAGACGCACUUCAUGACAUCUCAGGCGGGCUCUGGUUCCCCCAGGCCGGGGGGUGGAGGGGACCACAUGGACCUUUCCUGAGGCCAAGCCCAGGACAGCCCAGGGUGCAGUGGGUCCACCCUCUCCCCUGCUCACCUCAGUCCCCCAAGAGCAGGCUACCUGGACCCCUGCCUCUGCCCCAGCAAGUCUCAGUGGGAUCUGGCCGCUUAUCAUUCCGCCCUUCCUCUGGCCAGCUCCUCUGGGCCGAUGGCACCGUGCCCCUGGGAGCCCGGCGUGCAUUUCCAAGGAGACAGCCCUGUGUAUGCGCCCGCAAACAUGCACCAUUCGCUUUUCCCGCAGGAGGAGGUGGGAAGGAGGACGCGGGGGCAGAUUGCAAAUGCGAUGCCCUUCACAGUUUGCAGACCCUCUGGCAUGGGCCAGCUCAUUCCAUCCUGGCCACAAGCCUGUGAGGCAGGUAUUCGUUUUCCCUUUUCACAGACGGGGGAUGGAGAGAAUGUCAAGGACCCCCUGCCAGGUGGCCCACUUUGAUUCUAGUUAGGCGCCCCUGCCUGCCCAGCUUAAAGUGAAAGCCUUGUUCAACCCCUGGUGUCCCUUCCUGCUAGACGGUGCCUUGAAAAGCAGGCCUGAGUGACCACUGUUGGCAGAAAGAUGGGGAGGCAGCCCCUGAGCACAGCCAAGGAGUAAGGGAAGGGCAGGUGUGACGAGGGAACAGCUCGCUUUAGGGAAGCGGGGGCAGAGAGUGAGAGCGCGGGCAGGAUGGCCUCUUGGGAGAGGAUCCCCGGGACAAACAGGAAGAACAGUCCUUAGGGAUCAGGGUUUGGAGACAGAGGGGACCCUGGGUCAGAGCUUGGGGCACAGACCCACUCUCUUGCUGGGCAUAGAUUUCUUCGCCCGCAAGAAAGUUGAUGGAACGGGUGGCCCAGAACGAGGGGCAGCCCGGUGGCUGUUGUAGCCGAGGCCAAGGAGUCUCAAGCCUGGUUGGCACUGUUAGAGAAAAUCUGCUGGGGACCGGAGAGGUGGGGGGGUCUACGCGGGCCACGGGGAGAGGCCCCGGGGCAGCGCGAGCCCUCCCGGGUCGGAUCUCAGGGAGCAGCUUUGAACUAGCAAACGGAGAGGCUGCAGGGAGAGCGGAGUCUGGGGACAGCAGCGUGCCCUCUGCACGGCUCCCCUUCCUCGGUCUCAUGCAGGGCUGUGCUCGCCAAAGCCAAGAGUGAGCAGUCUGGAGGGGCAACCAGCCCCCCUGGUGUUCUCCUCCUGGGAGGUGCGAAGCCAGAGUGGGGGAUGCACACGGGGACAGGAGCUGCUUCAUCAAGGACUUUUAAAGCACAGUUGACCCUUGAACGACGUGAGUUUGAACUGCACAGGGCCACUUACAUACGUGUGGAUUUUUCACCAAAUUAAAACAGUGCUACCCCUUCUGCGGUUGGUUGAAUCUGAGGAUGUGGAACCAUGGAUGCAAAGGCAGCAGCUGUAAAGUUAUAGGCAGAUUUUCACGGGGGUCAGCGCCUCUAAGCCCAGUUUUGUUCAAGGGUCAACGGACUUGCCAUGCACCUGCUGAAAUCCUAGUUCUGAUGGUGUGUACCCUCUUCAGCAGGGUAUAAUGCUUUUCAGGUGGCUGCUUUUAUUUUUAUGAAAGGUUUGGAGAGGCUGGGAGCUUUGAAAGGGGUGAUUGCAGUGUGGGGGCAGUGAUGACAGCAAAGUCUUUGUGGGGCGCACCGGCCCCCUUGGCUCUUCAACCUUUGUCCCCUCAUUUUAUCCACCCACUGGCAUCUGUCAGUCUCUCCGGUCUCGUGCUUCUGCCCCUCAAUGGGACACCACAUAGAGAAGCAGUAGGGGUGGGCUGAGACUCUGGUCCCGCCCCCAGACCAACCCAGCCAUCUGGGACCACUGUUGUCAUUCAGUGUGCCAGCUCUUGCCAGCGCUGUGCCUGAGACCCUGGGCGAGUCCCCUCUGUGCUGGGCCCUGACUUCAUUAUCCACUGUGAGCAAUGGGGACUUUCCAGCUGUCACAGGGCUCUGGGGACCAGCUGGGAGCCAGCGACCAGCAGCUGCUACCACAUUUUGUAGGCCUUGUUGUCCUGGUCUGAGGAGCGCCGCCCUGAGUUUUCUGCCCAGCUGGGAGCUCUCCCUGCAGAGCCACCCACAGCCCAGUGGCUCCCUACGUGGCACUGGGCCCCUAGGACUCCCGCCCUUCCAUGGGUGCCUGGACCAAGAAGGGAACCCCCUGCUUCCAGCUUUUGGAAGGACCACCAGCCUUGCUCACCCACACAGGAUGUUCAGAGAGGGUCUUUGGAAGCUUCCCAGUACCUCUCUUCGUCCUAAGAUGAGGACACCAAAGGUGCGGGUUGCUGUGGAGACAGGCGUUCAAUCAAGUCGGCUGCCCAUGUUAUGCAUCCGGCCAUUUAUCAAGCAUGUUGAGCGCCUACUGCAUCCCUGGCCCUCAUGAUUCCCUGUGCUCAGAGAAUUCACAGGCCUUGGAGCCCUGCCUCCUGUGGUGCGUAGCUGCCUGGUGAGAGCUGCUCCUGAACACGGGCAGCCCCUCCCACCAGGACCCCCUUCAUCACCUGUGACCACACACAACCCAAGAGAUUUGAAAAAGCACCUCCAGCAGACACGGGUGUGCUGGACUGAGGCUCCCUAAUCUAGUUUACUCUCUUCUCUUGUUUUGGCCGUGCCCACGGCAUGUGGAAGUGCCCAGGCCAGGGACAGAACUCGCACCACAGCAGUGACAACACCAGGCCCUUAACCCAUGUCCCCACCUGGGAACUCCUAAUACACUCUUUUCUUUUAAAGGUGGGGAUACUGGGCCCACGUGACUGGGAUCUCCCUCAGGCCCAAAGGAAUCCACACUGCAGUUGGGGUCACAUUCCAGAGCAUGUCAGAGCCCCUCACCUUUCUGGAAAAGCUGCACCCAGAAAGGGCACAGAGACAGCCCCCGGGACCCUAGAGGGGGCACCCAGUAAAAGCAGGGAGAUGUGGCUUAUGCCGGAGAGCCCCACAUGGAGGGCUGCGAGCAGACAGGCCGCCCAGAGCCCGCGCAGAGUGCCCACUGGGGCCACUCUGCCUGAGCCAGGGUCAGCUGGGCUGCCCUAUUUACACAAGGACACAGACCUUCUGCCCCUUGCCCCUCAGAAUGCCUGCCCUGAGGCGGUCCCCAUGCCAGCCAGCUCUGCCCCACAGGUAAAGAGCAGCCAGGCCCCCAGGCACGAGGGCUGAGCAGGGAGAAAGCGGAGCAACACCUCGGGGACAGAGGUCAAGUGCACACAUUUAUUUUCUAGAACAGAGGCUAAACGAAGCAAGUUUCUUUACGUUUUAUUUUAAGAAGGACAAAAAUUGUUAUUAAAACAUCUACAUUAUUAUCAAGAUACUAGACCUUAUGAAUAUUUAAUAUUAAAGUGUGGUAUUCUUAAAUUUUUAAUACACAGACAUUUUUAAAGGACCAUUAAAUUGAUUACUGCCCAUCUGAGAAAUGCAGCAUCCCUCUCCACACCAGCCCAAAGGGACAAUCACAUCAGGGGCGCUGUCCCCCGAUCCCCCACAGUCGCCAUGUUGUCUUGUCCCUGCCUGCUGGGUCCGAUUCACCUCCCUGAGCCUCUCGGUCAGGGUCACAACCGAAAUCAUCCCACGUCAUUCCAAGUGUCCUCCUGGUUCCCACCCUACUCCCAUUGGCUGCCUGCCUCUGGCUCUCUUCCAGCCCUGUGGGGGACCAGCUCUGGCCAGGCCAGGGGGCCCCCAGAUCCCAAGGGCCCCCUGCAUGGAAGACAGGCUGGAGAACACCAGUCUGGAUUCUAAUCCUGUUCCUUUGGUUGGGAGACAAACCCCAGUGCUGUUCUUUCCCUGAGCCCUCGUGCUCCCUCCCUGUAGGCUGGGGCUGCCUAGAAGCUCUCAGGCAGAGCUGGGCCCCUGGCAGGGGCCGCUUCUCCCCUGCUGCCCGAAUCACCUCUGAGCCCUGGCUCCAGUCCCUCAGUCCUUGCAAGUGGCCUGAUGACCCCGAAAAUCUGCCCUUCCAUUAUGCCAGGAUGGCUGCAUUUUCUGGCCAAAUUCUCUAUCUUUAAACCCUCAUCAGAAGUGACUCCUUGGAUACCACACACAUAUAUAAUAUUAUAUAGAGCGAUAUAUUUAAUACCUGUGUAUAUAUGCAUCACGGGGGCGACAUAUAUACACACUAAAAACAAGGCUGGUGACGACAGACUGCAACAGCACAGACCAGGGAAAACAAGUGUCAUCAACAUUCACGGCCACGGCCCCCCCUUGGGUCUCUCCUCCCC